rnacentral:rRNA from 1 species
GACGGAGGGUGCAAGCGUUGUUCGGAAUCACUGGGCGUAAAGCGCGUGUAGGCGGUUGGAUAAGUCGGAUGUGAAAGCCCGGGGCUCAACUCCGGAAGUGCAUUCGAAACUGUCCUGCUCGAGUACGGGAGAGGAGAGUGGAAUUCCUGGUGUAGAGGUGAAAUUCGUAGAUAUCAGGAGGAACACCUGUGGCGAAGGCGGCUCUCUGGACCGAUACUGACGCUGAGACGCGAAAGCGUGGGGAG